rnacentral:rRNA from 1 species
GUGGGGAAUAUUGGACAAUGGGCGAAAGCCUGAUCCAGCCAUGCCGCGUGUGUGAAGAAGGUCUUCGGAUUGUAAAGCACUUUAAGUUGGGAGGAAGGGUAGUAACCUAAUACGUUGCUACUUUGACGUUACCGACAGAAUAAGCACCGGCUAACUUCGUGCCAGCAGCCGCGGUAAUACGAAGGGUGCAAGCGGUAAUCGGAAUUACUGGGCGUAAAGCGCGCGUAGGUGGUUCAGUAAGUUGGAAGUGAAAUCCCCGGGCUCAACCUGGGAACUGCUUUCAAAACUGCUGAGCUAGAGUACGGUAGAGGGUGGUGGAAUUUCCUGUGUAGCGGUGAAAUGCGUAGAUAUAGGAAGGAACACCAGUGGCGAAGGCGACCACCUGGACUGAUACUGACACUGAGGUGCGAAAGCGUGGGGAGCAAACAGGAUUAGAAACCCUAGUAGUCC